GCGUGAUUCUUCUCUCUUCAUUAUCGCAGGCUCGCUACUUCGUUCCAUUUUUACUCAGAUUCUGUUGUUAUCUUUCUGCGGCCAUUUUUUUCAUGGCGAGGGAGAAGCUAAAAUCCCUAGUUACAUCAUUCACUACCGGCGGUGAGUAUCUCGCUGUAUUGUCGCCUGAUGGAACUGUUAGAGUUUGGAACACAAGUAGUGGAAGCUUAUUUGGUCAGUGGAAACCAGAGAAUUCUGGAGACAGUUUCUCUUACAUGGCAUGCUGUAUUAUUGGAAAGAAGCACAGAAAAGAACAAUGUCUAUUAGUAGCUCUUGCCUCAGAUGAUGGAACUGUUUUAACAGUUGACAUUUCUGCUAAAUUGGUAAGGUGGAGAAAAGAUGGAGCCCUUCCUAGCGGAGCUGCUGGUCUGUUUUUUGUGGGCAAAGGUCGCAGGGUUAAUGCUGUUGCUGCGAAUGGUUUAGUACUUGAGAUGAACUCCGAAACUGGAGAAGUCAACAAAGAGUUCAAAGUGUCAAAGAAGUCCAUUUCUUCAGUAGCUCAUUCAACUGACCAGAAAAUUAUAGCUGUGGCCAGUGAUAAGUUGCGAUUUCUAAGUCCAGAAAGCGGGAAAGAGUUGCUGAAGUUUUCUCCUGAUUCAGCUACUGCACAACAUAUUUGGCUAUCA
rnacentral:misc_RNA from 1 species